GACGAACGCUGGCGGCGUGCUUAACACAUGCAAGUCGAACGCUGAAGCACCAGCUUGCUGGUGUGGAUGAGUGGCGAACGGGUGAGUAAUACGUGAGUAACCUGCCCUUGACUCUGGGAUAAGCCCGGGAAACUGGGUCUAAUACUGGAUGCUACAUGUCACCGCAUGGUGGUGUGUGGAAAGGGUUUACUGGUCUUGGAUGGGCUCACGGCCUAUCAGCUUGUUGGUGAGGUAAUGGCUCACCAAGGCGACGACGGGUAGCCGGCCUGAGAGGGUGACCGGCCAAACUGGGACUGAGACACGGCCCAGACUCCUACGGGAGGCAGCAGUGGGGAAUAUUGCACAAUGGGCGAGAGCCUGAUGCAGCGACGCCGCGUGAGGGAUGACGGCCUUCGGGUUGUAAACCUCUUUCAGCAGGGAAGAAGCCACAAGUGACGGUACCUGCAGAAGAAGCGCCGGCUAACUACGUG
rnacentral:rRNA from 1 species